rnacentral:rRNA from 1 species
UACGAAGGGGGCAAGCGUUGUUCGGAAUUACUGGGCGUAAAGGGCGCGCAGGCGGCCGAUCAAGUCAGAUGUGAAAGCCCCGGGCUCAACCUGGGAAUAGCAUUGGGACUGUUUGGCUAGAGAUCAGGAGAGGAGAGUGGAAUUCCCAGUGUAGAGGUGAAAUUCGUAGAUAUUGGGAAGAACACCGGUGGCGAAGGCGGCUCUCUGGACCGAUACUGACGCUGAGGCGCGAAAGCGUGGGGAGCAAACAGG